UGGGGAAUUUUGGACAAUGGACGCAAGUCUGAUCCAGCCAUGCCGCGUGCGGGAAGAAGGCCUUCGGGUUGUAAACCGCUUUUGUCAGGGAAGAAACGAGUUUCUCUAAUACAGAGACUUAAUGACGGUACCUGAAGAAAAAGCACCGGCUAACUACGUGCCAGCAGCCGCGGUAAUACGUAGGGUGCAAGCGUUAAUCGGAAUUACUGGGCGUAAAGCGUGCGCAGGCGGUUAUGCAAGACAGAUGUGAAAUCCCCGGGCUCAACCUGGGAACUGCAUUUGUGACUGCAUAGCUGGAGUGCGGCAGAGGGGGAUGGAAUUCCGCGUGUAGCAGUGAAAUGCGUAGAUAUGCGGAGGAACACCGAUGGCGAAGGCAAUCCCCUGGGCCUGUACUGACGCUCAUGCACGAAAGCGUGGGGAGCAAACA
rnacentral:rRNA from 1 species